rnacentral:rRNA from 1 species
CCAAGGAGUCUAGCAUGUGCGCGAGUCAUGGAGCUCGUACGAACCUCAAAGGCGCAAUGAAAGUGAAUGCGUACCUACGUGCGCACAGGCGGGAUCGGUCGCCGUUCGCGGCGCCCGCGCACCGCCGGCCCGUCUUGGCCCCAUCGCGGGCGAGGCGGAGCAAGAGCGCACACGCUGGGACCCGAAAGAUGGUGAACUAUGUCUGAGUAGGGCGAAGUCAGAGGAAACUCUGAUGGAGGCCCGCAGCGAUUCUGACGUGCAAAUCGAUCGUCAAACUUGGAUAUAGGGGCGAAAGACUAAUCGAACCAUCUAGUAGCUGGUUCCCUCCGAAGUUUCCCUCAGGAUAGCUGGCACUGACCGUACGCAGUUUUAUCCGGUAAAGCGAAUGAUUAGAGGCCUUGGGGACUUAGCGUCCUCAACCUAUUCUCAAACUUUAAAUGGGUAAGAAGGGCCACUCGCUCAACACACAUCGUGGAGCGGCCCCUCGAAUGCRUAGUGCCAAGUGGGCCACUUUUG